ACGCUCGACACCUACUGGAGGCAGCAGUGGGGAAUAUUGCACAAUGGGGGAAACCCUGAUGCAGCGACGCCGCGUGAGCGAAGAAGUAUCUCGGUAUGUAAAGCUCUAUCAGCAGGGAAGAAGAUGACGGUACCUGACUAAGAAGCACCGGCUAAAUACGUGCCUGCAACCGCGGUAAUCUGAGCGGGCUGGCAAGGC
rnacentral:rRNA from 1 species